rnacentral:lncRNA from 1 species
AUGCAUCUUUGGUUUCCUCUCCCUUCUUUCCACCCGUAUUUUAAGAGAAAGCAAUGGAUCUGGCUGAUUAGCUGCCUGCCUACACCAAGUUUCUCCAUUAAAGAGACAUUACUGCAAAUGGGAAAGAAGAGCAUAGGAGAGAAUGUACAUAAGAAAGAAAUACAGUCCUUCAAAGACAAAGAAUGUCUUCCCACCUAUUUGGGGCAUGUAUUUGUGUGAGUGUGUGUGUGUGUGUGUGUGUAUGUGUGCAUGUGUGCACACUUAAUCUGAGUGUGUACAUAAAAACUCCUCAUUUUAAAAGGGCUUUAAAAAUAAUUAGGAUUUAUAUAUUUUCAAAAGAGUGGGCAGAGUGCAAUGAGUCACCAAGAGGUGAUUAAGUCAGGUUGUUUGAGGCUUCCUGAGGUGACAGGAUCGUCUGUAGGCUUUAGAAAGAAAGCUUAUAUAGCCUAUUAUCAUGAUGAAGUGAAAUUUAAAAUUACAUUUUAUAUUUGUAAAGGGCUAACAGGCGAGGUCCCUAUGGAUUGUCAAAUACUACAUAAAAUGCUAUAAAAACCAGACCGUAAUCUCUCACUAACUUACACAUUAGCCUCAGGCAGUAAAGAUGGUUUUUAUUGGAACUAGAUUUUGUGAGGGGAAAAAAAAAGUUAUGCACAGUUUAUCCUGGCUUUUCAGGCACUUUGCUUCUUCCUUGAGUUAACAUGACGUAUUCCAAGUGAUUAAAUAAACUUAUCUAGCAGCUCUUUUCAUGCACUUGAAAGAGGCAAAGUAAAGAAGGAUUUACUCUGAAGAGAGGUCUUAAUUCUAUCACUGAAAAGCAUCCCUGUUUUAUUCCAGUUAUUACUGUGAAAACCAAGAAAGGCAAGAAAAAAUUAAAGCUUCUGAAAAAGCCCUUGUAGAGAACUGCUUGUACUCCAUGUACUAUUUCACUUACUACCUUGCACCUUUGAAGAUCAAAAGUAAUACAUGUGGGAAGAAUUCAGAAGACAGAGGAGAUAUUAUUGUCAGUGCCAUGAGUGCAACGUAGGAAAAUAGUAGUUUGGAUUUUAGCUCCUUUAUUGUCACUGAGGUGCUAACCAAGGCUGGUCAAAUAUUUUGAUAGACUGGUACAUUUUUCAUCUUCAAGAGUAACUAACUUUGAACAGCUUACAGUCAGAUUUACAACAUGUGGCAGAUUUAUAAAUGAUCUCUAGAUUCAACAGUCAAGCACUGAGCCUAUUGGUGUCUUUAGUUUUGUGCUUCUUUCAAGAGUUAGGGAUUCGUAGUAGCCGAUAAGCCAGGUUUAAGCUUUUAUGUGGAGACGAACUUGGGGCUCUUUAGAUACGGUUGUUUGGCCAUUUAGAGCUAGCUUGAGCAGAUAUUCAAAGUUCUGAUCUCCCCUAAUGUUUAGGUUGUGCUGGUUGAGGAUUAACCCUCCAUGAUUUAGUAGUCAAGAGGUAGAAUGUGGUGACCAGCAUGAUUCUUGAGAAUCCCAAGUAGGUGGCCCAUGUCUAAUCACAUGCCUUAGGAACUCUUGAAAUGUUAGUAGGGUAAAAAGCACACAUGGCUUUGUUGUCAAACUGACCUUUAUCCCAAUCCUAUACCCGUCGGUUACUAGCUGUAUGACUGUAGGCA